CACGUCAUCCCCACCUUCCUCCGAGUUGUCCCCGGCAGUCUCCUUAGAGUCCCCGCCAUUACGCGCUGGCAACUAAGGACAGGGGUUGCGCUCGUUGCGGCACUUAAGCCAACACCUCACGGCACGAGCUGACGACAGCCAUGCAGCACCUGUGCUGGCCCCUUACGGACACGGGCUUUCACCCGCUUUAACCAGCAUGUCAAGCCUAGGUAAGGUUCUUCGCGUUGCAUCGAAUUAAGCCACAUGCUCCGCCGCUUGUGCGGGUCCCCGUCAAUUCCUUUGAGUUUUAGCCUUGCGGCCGUACUCCCCAGGCGGAGUGCUUAAUGCGUUAGCUGCGGCACAGAGAGGGUUGAAGACCUCCCCACACCUAGCACUCAACGUUUAAGGCUGGGACUACCAG
rnacentral:misc_RNA from 1 species